CGCGGGGUACGGCGCUGAGCGACCCGCGCCGGCUCCCGCCGGGGCAACAAAGGCCGCCCCCCGUUCCGUGCCCCCCAGCCGCCCGCCGCCCCCGGCCCCGCUCACUCGUCAGGGAACAGAAGCGGAAACUCGGAGAGAAAUCUGUGGACUGCUAGCAAUGAGAUAGAAGCAGGAGCUGAUGAAAGCUUUGAGGUCUUCUCCUCAGGGAGAAGCAGCAUGUCCUUCAGAGGUUACUGUGCCGGUUCUUGUAAGUAGCGUGUUGGAGCUGACUGACUUUUCUGAAUGAAAAGGCUCUCUCUCAGAGGAGUGGGAUUUAAGGAUGUGGUUUGGAGAAUUGUCGGGAUCCUUUUGGGCACCUGCCAGGGGAAGAGGAUGUGGAGAGCUCUUUGCAGUCUUCCCAGGAUGUCCUUUUGGAGGCUGCUAUUGUGAGACCAUCCCCUCUGAACACCCACAUUCCCUUUACUGCAAAGCUCUUUGAUCAGCCUCAGCAGGUGACAUGAUGAACAGCUGACUGACUACUUUGGCAAAACCAGUUUUUGUGGCUUGACCUCCUUUUCACACCCGGUGUCUUGCUAAACAGGGAUGGCUGUCUAUAAAAUCCUGAGAGGGCAGAAAGCAGAGAUGAUUUCCACCUUCCUGUGGCAAGUCACUUGUAGGGGUGGAGGAGAAUGUUGGUCUUCCAUUACAGCAGAAGGAACUACAGCCCAAGAAGAUGGUGUUUGGAAGAGGACUCAAACUCAGGAACAUUUGGGAUCAUUUAAGACAGGAAGACAACAUCCACUUGAGUUUAAUUCCCUGUGCUUGCUUGUUUGUGUCUAGUUGCUUGGCUGUAAGUGGUGCAUAAAUCACUUGAGACCCUCCAUUCCUCUGUAAUUUACUGUUGGAAAGGACCGAAAUAAAUGUUAACAUAUUUGUGAGACAUACCAGAA